UGCAUGCUCAGUGCUGAUGAGCUUACUCCAGUCAAUCUCCUCUCAUCAGCCUGUGUCCUGGGAAGCUUAGCCAAGCAAAGGGGAACUUCAUGGGGGAAACUGGUGGAAAAGGAGAAGAACCACACCAAAGUUGUUAUGCUAGUCCCAUAGCAUGACCUUUGGAAUCGAUCUUUUAGGAUUUUCUCCACAACUGUGAGGUUUUGAGACCUGUUUUAAUUUUGAACGAGACUGGAAUUAUAUAAUAGUGAGCCGCUGGGACAUGGGCCUAGGAGGAAAGAGUUUAAUAACAAGGCCAGCAAUAGAAAGGAUAGAUUUGGAAGGACUGAUACUGCUGGAUUACCUACUCCUUCCACUAGGAGUGGGUCACGAUGGAGUUGUAUUGUUUUUACCAGCAGAUGACUAAAGACAGUUUUCUGGAAAACAAAUGCAUCCUGAUCAAAGAGACUCCUGCCUAGUGAAAUGAAACAGAUUGAAAUCUAUUUAUCCAUUUAAACAUUGUGCUAAGCUCC
rnacentral:lncRNA from 1 species